GUGGGGAAUAUUGCACAAUGGGCGAAAGCCUGAUGCAGCGACGCCGCGUGAGCGAUGAAGUAUUUCGGUACGUAAAGCUCUAUCAGCAGGGAAGAUAAUGACGGUACCUGACUAAGAAGCACCGGCUAAAUACGUGCCAGCAGCCGCGGUAAUACGUAUGGUGCAAGCGUUAUCCGGAUUUACUGGGUGUAAAGGGAGCGUAGGCGGCGUGGUAAGUCAGAAGUGAAAGCCCGGGGCUCAACCCCGGGACUGCUUUUGAAACUAUCAUGCUAGAGUGUCGGAGAGGUAAGUGGAAUUCCUAGUGUAGCGGUGAAAUGCGUAGAUAUUAGGAGGAACACCAGUGGCGAAGGCGGCUUACUGGACGAUAACUGACGCUGAGGCUCGAAAGCGUGGGGAGCAAACAGGAUUAGAAACCCCAGUAGUCC
rnacentral:rRNA from 1 species